rnacentral:rRNA from 1 species
GAUGAACGCUAGCUACAGGCUUAACACAUGCAAGUCGAGGGGAAACGAUGAGAGAGCUUGCUCUCUUAGGCGUCGACCGGCGCACGGGUGAGUAACGCGUAUCCAACCUACCCAUUACAGGAGGAUAACCUUGCGAAAGUAAGACUAAUACCCCAUGGCAUUUUAUGGUGGCAUCAUUAUAGGAUUAAAGAUUUAUUGGUAAUGGAUGGGGAUGCGUCUGAUUAGCUUGUUGGCGGGGUAACGGCCCACCAAGGCAACGAUCAGUAGGGGUUCUGAGAGGAAGGUCCCCGACAUUGGAACUGAGACACGGUCCAAACUCCUACGGGAGGCAGCAGUGAGGAAUAUUGGUCAAUGGGCGAGAGCUUGAACCAGCCAAGUAGCGUGCAGGAUGACGGCCCUAUGGGUUGUAAACUGCCUUUAUAGGGGAAUAAAGUGAGCUACGUGUAGUUUAUUGCAUGUACCCUAUGAAUAAGGACCGGCUAAUUCCGUG